CCAGCCAUGCCGCGUGCAGGAUGACGGUCCUAUGGAUUGUAAACUGCUUUUAUACGAGAAAAAACACUCCUUCGUGAAGGAAUUUGACGGUAUCGUAAGAAUAAGGAUCGGCUAACUCCGUGCCAGCAGCCGCGGUAAUACGGAGGAUCCGAGCGUUAUCCGGAAUCAUUGGGUUUAAAGGGUCCGUAGGCGGUCUAGUAAGUCAGUGGUGAAAGCCCAUCGCUCAACGGUGGAACGGCCAUUGAUACUGCUGGACUUGAAUUACUAGGAAGUAACUAGAAUAUGUAGUGUAGCGGUGAAAUGCUUAGAGAUUACAUGGAAUACCAAUUGCGAAGGCAGGUUACUACUAGUGGAUUGACGCUGAUGGACGAAAGCGUGGGUAGCGAACAGGAUUAGAUACCCUGGUAGUCCACGCCGUAAACGAUGGAUACUAGCUGUUGGGGGCAACUUCAGUGGCUAAGCGAAAGUGAUAAGUAUCCCACCUGGGGAGUACGUUCGCAAGAAUGAAACUCAAAGGAAUUGACGGGGGCCCGCACAAGCGGUGGAGCAUGUGGUUUAAUUCGAUGAUACGCGAGGAACCUUACCAAGGCUUAAAUGUAGUUUGACCGUUUUGGAAACAGAACUUU
rnacentral:rRNA from 1 species